GUGUCAGCAGCCGCGGUAAUACGAGGGGUGCAAACGUUAUUCGGAAUCAUUGGGCGUAAAGGGUACGUAGACGGCGAAAUAAGUCAGUCAUUAAAUCUUCCAGCUUAACUGGAAGUCUGUGGCUGAAACUGAUUUGCUUGAGGAUGGAAGAGAGAAGCGGAAUUCUCGGAGUAGCGGUAAAAUGCGUAGAUCUCGAGAGGAACACCGAUGGCGAAGGCAGCUUCUUGGUCCAUAUCUGACGUUGAGGUACGAAAGCGUGGGGAGCAAACAGGAUUAGAUACCCCGGUAGUCC
rnacentral:rRNA from 1 species